GAUGAAGAACGUAGUGAAAUGCGAUAAGUAGUGUGAAUUGCAGAAUUCAGUGAAUCAUCGAAUCUUUGAACGCACAUUGCGGCCCUUGGUAUUCCAUGGGGCAUGCCUGUUCGAGCGUCAUCUACAACCCUCAAGCCCUGCUUGGUGUUGGGCGUCUGUCCCGCCCCCGCGCGCGGACUCGCCCCAAAUCCAUUGGCGGCGGCCCUUGCCUCCCUCUCGCGCAGCACAUUGCGCUUCUCGAGGCGUCGCGGGCCGCGCUCCACGAAGCACGCAAACCAGUCUUUGACCUCGGAUCAGGUAGGGAUACCCGCUGAACUUAAGCAUAUCAAAAGCGGAGGA
rnacentral:misc_RNA from 1 species